GACCGACCUGGCCCAGGCCCGGCAGUACGGGAUCUCCGGGGUCCCGUUCUUCGUCUUCGACGGCAAGCGGGCGGUCUCCGGCGCCCAGCCGGUCG
rnacentral:tRNA from 1 species